AUACGGGGGGUGCAAGCGUUAAUCGGAAUUACUGGGCGUAAAGCGCGCGUAGGCGGUUUGCUCAGUCGGAUGUGAAAGCCCAGGGCUCAACCUUGGAACUGCAUACGAUACUGGCAAACUAGAGUGUGAGAGAGGAUAGUGGAAAUUCCGGUGUAGCGGUGAAAUGCGUAGAUAUCGGAAGGAACAUCAGUGGCGAAGGCGACUGUCUGGCUCAACACUGACGCUGAGGUGCGAAAGCGUGGGUAGCAAACAGGAUUAGAAACCCUAGUAGUCC
rnacentral:rRNA from 1 species